GAGGGAGUGCCUUUCGGGGAACUCGGAGACAGGUGCUGCAUGGCUGUCGUCAGCUCGUGUCGUGAGAUGUUGGGUUAAGUCCUUUAACGAGCGCAACCCUCAUUGCAUGUUAAUUUUUCAUGCGAGACUGCCCUGGUUAACAGGGAGGAAGGUGGGGAUGACGUCAAGUCAGCAUGGCCCUUACACCUUGGGCUACACACGUGUUACAAUGGCCGGUACAAUAAGUCGCAAUACCGUAAGGUGGAGCUAAUCUAUGAAAACCGGUCCCAGUUCGGAUUGGGGGCUGAAACUCGCCCCCAUGAAGUCGGAAUCGCUAGUAACCGUGAAUCAGCACGUCACGGUGAAUACGUUCCCGGGUCUU
rnacentral:rRNA from 1 species